rnacentral:rRNA from 1 species
UACGGGGGGAGCAAGCGUUGUUCGGAUUUACUGGGCGUAAAGGGCUCGUAGGCGGCCAACUAAGUCAGACGUGAAAUCCCUCGGCUUAACCGGGGAACUGCGUCUGAUACUGGAUGGCUUGAGAUUGGGAGAGGGAUGCGGAGUUCCAGGUGUAGCGGUGAAAUGCGUAGAUAUCUGGAGGAACACCGGUGGCGAAGGCGACAUCCUGGACCAACACUGACGCUGAGGAGCGAAAGCCAGGGGAGCAAACGGG